AUGCAUCUCUGACAACCCUGGAGCACUUAUAUCUGCUGCUAUGUUUUCCACAAUAGAUGCAAGAAAAAGAAGACCUUGAGCUUUCUGUCUGCUUGUGGCAGCCAAAAUUGAAUGGGGGAAUACAGGA
rnacentral:snoRNA from 1 species